rnacentral:snoRNA from 1 species
CGCCGUCUCUGAUGAACAUGAACGGGCAGUACCAAUUGCCGACGACGGCGGCCGGCGAGCCUCCCGCGCCGAUGGCGAAGCCGUCGAGGUCAGGCAUCCGGCGACGGAGCGGCCAGUCUAUCCCGUGCGCGUCGUCACUGAGGCCGUCG